rnacentral:lncRNA from 1 species
UUGCUCUAAAUGCUUUGGUUUUUGAGUUAUAAGCCAAAAACUGCAUUUUACCCCUAUGUUCUAUUUUUAGCCAUGGCGGCCAUCUUGGUUGGUUGGCCGGGUCACGCCACACAUUUUUUUAAACUAGAUACCCCAAUGAUGAUUGUGGCCAAGUUUGGUUUAAUUUGGCCCAGUAGUUUCAGAGGAGAAGAUUUUUGUAAAAGUUAACGACGACGGACGACGACGGACGCCAAGUGAUGGGAAAAGCUCACUUGGACCUUCGGGUCAG